CACAGCAACAUCCAAUCAAAUUCGCCAAUUUCUCAUUUCUCAACUGCCCCACUGCUCUCGCCUCCUCGAGGAACUGGCGAGCGUCAGGCCAAGCGGACUUGUUGAAGCGUUUGACAGCGAUCCAGCGAUCAUCAUCUUGAAGUCUACAUCUAUAAACCACAUUGGGAGCUUUCUCGCCAUGCUCCGAUACUAUAUUGUCCGCACUGAACCCUGACGUGGCAGCUCGUAGCUGCUCUAAGCUGAACUCUCUAAACCCAGGUAGCAAGUCUCCAUUCUCGAGAUCGGAGGAGGCAUUGAGGUUGGAUUUGAGAUUGGAUGGCCACCAGCAGAGUGAUAAUUUGGAGCACCGAGCUCCCAUUUGGCUAGAACUUCAAUUACUAUAAAUCACAAGAGAAAACCCAGAAAA
rnacentral:misc_RNA from 1 species